GUGGGGAAUAUUGCACAAUGGGGGAAACCCUGAUGCAGCGACGCCGCGUGAGUGAAGAAGUAUUUCGGUACGUAAAGCUCUAUCAGCAAGGAAGAAAAUGACGGUACUUGACUAAGAAGCCCCGGCUAACUACGUGCCAGCAGCCGCGGUAAUACGUAGGGGGCAAGCGUUAUCCGGAUUUACUGGGUGUAAAGGGAGCGUAGACGGUAUGGUAAGUCAGAUGUGAAAGCCCGGGGCUCAACCCCGGGACUGCAUUUGAAACUAUCAGACUAGAGUGCAGGAGAGGUAAGUGGAAUUCCUAGUGUAGCGGUGAAAUGCGUAGAUAUUAGGAGGAACACCAGUGGCGAAGGCGGCUUUCUGGACUGUAACUGACGCUGAGGCACGAAAGCGUGGGGAGCAAACAGGAUUAGAAACCCUGGUAGUCC
rnacentral:rRNA from 1 species